CCUACGGGAGGCAGCAGUGAGGAAUAUUGGUCAAUGGACGGAAGUCUGAACCAGCCAUGCCGCGUGCAGGAAGACGGCUCUAUGAGUUGUAAACUGCUUUUGUACAAAGGUAAACCUGAAUACGUGUAUUCAGCUGAAAGUACUGUACUAAUAAGGAUCGGCUAACUCCGUGCCAGCAGCCGCGGUAAUACGGAGGAUCCAAGCGUUAUCCGGAUUUAUUGGGUUUAAAGGGUGCGUAGGCGGAUUGAUAAGUUAGAGGUGAAAUGUCCGAGCUUAACUCGGGAACUGCCUCUAAUACUGUUGGUCUAGAGAGUAGAUGCGGUAGGCGGAAUGUAUGGUGUAGCGGUGAAAUGCUUAGAGAUCAUACAGAACACCGAUUGCGAAGGCAGCUUACCAAUCUAUAUCUGACGUUGAGGCACGAAAGCGUGGGGAGCAAACAGGAUUAGAUACCCUUGUAGUC
rnacentral:rRNA from 1 species